rnacentral:tRNA from 1 species
GGGCCCGGACCGGCGCGGACUUUCCCGGACGGGGUCUCGGCGCCUACGGAUCAGAAGGUUAGGGGUUCGAAUCCCUUCGGGCGCG